CACGUAGGGGGCAAGCGUUGUCCGGAUUUAUUGGGCGUAAAGAGCUCGUAGGCGGCUCAGUAAGUCGGGUGUGAAAUCCCCGGGCUCAACCUGGGAACUGCCUUUGUGACUGCAAGGCUUGAGUGCGGCAGAGGGGGAUGGAAUUCCGCGUGUAGCAGUGAAAUGCGUAGAUAUGCGGAGGAACACCGAUGGCGAAGGCAAUCCCCUGGGCCUGCACUGACGCUGAGGAGCGAAAGCCAGGGGAGCAAACGGG
rnacentral:rRNA from 1 species